rnacentral:rRNA from 1 species
CGUUGUUGGGUAGGGGAGCGUUCUGUAAGCCGUUGAAGGUGGCCUGUGAGGGUUGCUGGAGGUAUCAGAAGUGCGAAUGCUGACAUAAGUAACGAUAAAGCGGGUGAAAAGCCCGCUCGCCGGAAGACCAAGGGUUCCUGUCCAACGUUAAUCGGGGCAGGGUGAGUCGACCCCUAAGGCGAGGCUGAAAAGCGUAGUCGAUGGGAAACAGGUUAAUAUUCCUGUACUUGGUGUUACUGCGAAGGGGGGACGGAGAAGGCUAGGCUAGCCGGGCGACGGUUGUCCCGGUUUAAGCGUGUAGGGGGUGUGACCUGGUAAAUCCGGUUGCAUAUCAACCCUGAGGCGUGAUGACGAUGCACUACGGUGCAGAAGUAGUUGAUGCCCUGCUUCCAGGAAAAGCCUCUAAGCUCCAGGUAACAUUGAAUCGUACCCCAAACCGACACAGGUGGUCAGGUAGAGAAUACCAAGGCGCUUGAGAGAACUCGGGUGAAGGAACUAGGCAAAAUGGUGCCGUAACUUCGGGAGAAGGCACGCUGG